rnacentral:lncRNA from 1 species
AUGCUGAGCGCUUCUCCUUGUACUCUUGGUUCCCUCAGAGCAUGCCAGCAGACUGAGAGGAGCCAUUCAGCCUCACAGCUGCCCAGGUCACCAGCAUUUUACUGCUGUCAACACAGCUAUGGCCACGUGGUGCAAUUCAGGGCUCUGCAGAGCUAUGUCAGCAGCUCGGAGCUGGCAACAUCAGAAGCCCAUACACAGAGACACUUUGUCUGGAGCAUAGGAGCUCCAGAAGAGUUCUUCCAACCUUACUUACUUCUCAGCCUGCAAAGAAAUAAAGACCUUGAUUGAUGAUCGCAGGCAGAUGUGGUGAAAGCAUCCCAAUCAGAGGCACAACACUACUGCCUGAGUAAUGGCUUUCCCACCCCCGUGGGAGGCAAUGCUGAGCUUGCUGUUCUGGUGGGCAAAAUCCUACACCAUCAGAUGUGCACAAACAGCUGAAAGCACACGUUACAGGCCAAGAAAAAAGCAAAUAGAUAAAAUCCCUCCCUAGCGUUGUCUGUACUCCUGUUAACAUCCCGGAGUAAGUGUUAGGCUGUUGCAGUCAUUUGUUUUAAGAUUGUGCUUGGCUUGACAAGGAGUCUAGACAGAAGAGUGCUCCAUUCAUCUGACAAAUCCCUAUUGCUCUUCUCCGCACUGAGUGAAUCUUGGAGGAGUCAGUGUCUUGAAGGCAAAGCUUAGCCCUGCAGGAAGGCCAGACGAAGACUGCAGGGCAACCAAGGAAAGGUCCUGGCUGACUGUGACAGAUAUCUAGAAGCAGGGAGGAAGGUGCCAUCUUUCUCUGGAGCAGAGCAGAGACCUUUCAGUGAGCCAUGACCACAAAUCCUGUUUCCUAAUUGAGAGGAGAAGGACCAGCGGAUAAGCUGUCAAGGCCAGUGUAAAUGAAGAAGGAUUGCUUUUUCGGGCAAUAGAUCAGAAGUUAGGACGUUGCUUUAUGCAGAUCUUUGCCCUUACAUGUAUCUCUGUGCAAAAGGAGUCCUGCCUGAGUCUGGACUCCAGUGGGAUCCAAGCUGGGCCUCUGAUGCUUGCACAAAUCAGCAGCAACUGGAAGCAGCUAAAUUUUAUGAACAUAUAUUCCAAGAUGCUGUAAUUCUCACAUCCCAGCUGUUCUUUGCCAUCCAAAGGCACCCUUCUAGUGCAUCCUCUUUGGCACACGCAGCCCUGAAGCAGUCACUGCGUGCCUGCUUCCUUGUAAUGCCAUCCACUUCAAUAGCCCCAGAUAGCUUCUGAGCCAGCACAGACUCUUUUGGGGGUCACCAAGGACUCUGGACCCACGUUUGUCAUGCACGAU